AAAUAAAAUAAAGAGUAUUCUUAAAUCACCUGAGGUAAUAGCCUUUAGUUGUACCAGAGGAGGUUCAGAUUGGAUAUUAGGUAAAGUUUCUUUUUCAGAAAGAGAGGUGAUGCAGUGGCACUGGCUGCCAAGGGAGGUGGUGGGGUCACCGUCCCUGGAGGUGUUCCAGAACCGUGGGGAUGUGGCACUGAGGGAUGUGGUCAGCAGGCAUGGUGGGGUGAGCUGGGAUUGGACUGGGUGGUCUUUGUGGUCCUUUCCAACCUUAAUGGUUCUAUGAUUCUAAGAAUCUAUGAUUCACGAUGCUCUUGAAUGUCCUACUCACUCUCAGGAGGAGCUUUCAGCAUCACCACUAAGUGACAUGAAAUCUGUGCAGCACAAUUACUUUCAACAAGUUGUAGUCAUCGAGUGUGGAAGGAAAAUGAAAAUACAGCAUCACAGACUUGAAGUACUUUCACUUUGAGCGAGUAACGUGGAAACCCAUUGCUUUCUGCAAGAAAAUGCUGCAGCUCCGGAGAUUCCAAGGAGUUUAGUUACUUGCAAGACAUGAUUUAUUUACAUACUAAUGAUGAUACAAAGAAAAUAGGAAGAAAGAGAAAAGAUGAAAAAUGCACCCUUGAGAAUGCAACAGAAUAGAAGACAACCCCAAAUGUGGAAUUGCAAAACUUUUACAUUCAGGACAGUGUCAAAUCUUAGAUUCCUACACUUGUAAGCAGCACACAGGAGGAAAGACCAUUUCCUAGAAGACCUUAAGAGUUCAACUGCUAUUGUAGUAACAAGCACCAGAGCAACAUCUCUUUACUCAUAUAUAAUCCCUUCAGUAGCACUUAAGUAAGUUUAUGGUUCAGAAGGCACUUGUACCUAAAUGGAGCAGUAACAUUCUACACAGCUAGACACUGGAUGUUGUAGUUAGUCAUAAAUGCUCCCAAACUCUUCGGUACAGUUUCUCCUUCCUCUUUCAUUAGCCACAGCAAUAUUUAUUCAUGUGAUGAGGGGCUUUAAUUACAGAGCAGAUCCCUGUUGCGCAAGCUAUGGUUGCACUUGGGAAGCAGAG
rnacentral:lncRNA from 1 species